CAAGGGUUCGGCUGUUCGCCGAUUAAAGUGGUACGUGAGCUGGGUUUAGAACGUCGUGAGACAGUUCGGUCCCUAUCUGCCGUGGGUGUUGGAGACUUGCGAGGAGCCGUCCCUAGUACGAGAGGACCGGGAUGGACGCACCUCUGGUGCACCGGUUGUCGCGCCAGCGGCAUCGCCGGGUAGCUAUGUGCGGACGGGAUAACCGCUGAAAGCAUCUAAGCGGGAAACCCACCUCAAAACGAGGUCUCUCCAAGGGCCGUGAUAGACCAUCACGUCGAUAGGCCGGGGGUGAAAGUGCGGCAACGCAUUGAGCUGACCGGUACUAAUCGCCCGCAAGGCUCGUGAUC
rnacentral:rRNA from 1 species